GACGAACGCUGGCGGCGUGCUUAACACAUGCAAGUCGAACGGAAAGGCCCUGCUUUUGUGGGGUGCUCGAGUGGCGAACGGGUGAGUAACACGUGAGUAACCUGCCCUUGACUUUGGGAUAACUUCAGGAAACUGGGGCUAAUACCGGAUAGGAGCUCCUGCUGCAUGGUGGGGGUUGGAAAGUUUCGGCGGUUGGGGAUGGACUCGCGGCUUAUCAGCUUGUUGGUGGGGUAGUGGCUUACCAAGGCUUUGACGGGUAGCCGGCCUGAGAGGGUGACCGGCCACAUUGGGACUGAGAUACGGCCCAGACUCCUACGGGAGGCAGCAGUGGGGAAUAUUGCACAAUGGGCGGAAGCCUGAUGCAGCAACGCCGCGUGCGGGAUGACGGCCUUCGGGUUGUAAACCGCUUUCGCCUGUGACGAAGCGUGAGUGACGGUAAUGGGUAAAGAAGCACCGGCUAACUACGUGCCAGCAGCCGCGGUGAUACGUAGGGUGCGAGCGUUGUCCGGAUUUAUUGGGCGUAAAGGGCUCGUAGGUGGUUGAUCGCGUCGGAAGUGUAAUCUUGGGGCUUAACCCUGAGCGUGCUUUCGAUACGGGUUGACUUGAGGAAGUUAGGGGAGAAUGGAAUUCCUGGUGGAGCGGUGGAAUGCGCAGAUAUCAGGAGGAACACCAGUGGCGAAGGCGGUUCUCUGGGCCUUUCCUGACGCUGAGGAGCGAAAGCGUGGGGAGCGAACAGGCUUAGAUACCCUGGUAGUCCACGCUGUAAACGGUGGGUACUAGGUGUGGGGUCCAUUCCACGGGUUCCGUGCCGUAGCUAACGCUUUAAGUACCCCGCCUGGGGAGUACGGCCGCAAGGCUAAAACUCAAAGGAAUUGACGGGGCCCCGCACAAGCGGCGGAGCAUGCGGAUUAAUUCGAUGCAACACGUAGAACCUUACCUGGGUUUGACAUGGAUCGGGAGUGCUCAGAGAUGGGUGUGCCUCUUUUGGGGUCGGUUCACAGGUGGUGCAUGGCUGUCGUCAGCUCGUGUCGUGAGAUGUUGGGUUAAGUCCCGCAACGAGCGCAACCCUUGUUCACUGUUGCCAGCACGUUAUGGUGGGGACUCAGUGGAGACCGCCGGGGUCAACUCGGAGGAAGGUGGGGAUGACGUCAAGUCAUCAUGCCCCUUAUGUCCAGGGCUUCACGCAUGCUACAAUGGCUGGUACAGAGAGUGGCGAGCCUGUGAGGGUGAGCGAAUCUCGGAAAGCCGGUCUCAGUUCGGAUUGGGGUCUGCAACUCGACCUCAUGAAGUCGGAGUCGCUAGUAAUCGCAGAUCAGCAACGCUGCGGUGAAUACGUUCCCGGG
rnacentral:rRNA from 1 species